CCUACGGGUGGCAGCAGUGAGGAAUAUUGGUCAAUGGGCGCAAGCCUGAACCAGCCAAGUAGCGUGAAGGAUGACUGCCCUACGGGUUGUAAACUUCUUUUAUAAAGGAAUAAAGUGAGGCACGUGUGCCUUUUUGUAUGUACUUUAUGAAUAAGGAUCGGCUAACUCCGUGCCAGCAGCCGCGGUAAUACGGAGGAUCCGAGCGUUAUCCGGAUUUAUUGGGUUUAAAGGGAGCGUAGACGGGUUGUUAAGUCAGUUGUGAAAUGUUGCGGCUCAACCGUAAAAUUGCAUUUGAUGUGGGCAGUCUUGAGUACAGUUGAGGUAAGCGGAAUGCGUGGUGUAGCGGUGAAAUGCUUAGAUAUCACGAAGAACCCCGAUUGCGAAGGCAGCUUACUAAACUGUGACUGACAUUGAUGCUCGAAAGUGUGGGUAUCAAACAGGAUUAGAUACCCGUGUAGUC
rnacentral:rRNA from 1 species